rnacentral:rRNA from 1 species
GACGAACGCUGGCGGCGUGCUUAACACAUGCAAGUCGAGCGGUAAGGCCCUUUCGGGGGUACGACGAGCGGCGAACGGGUGAGUAACACGUGGGUGACCUGCCCUCCAGCUCUGGGAUAAGCCUGGGAAACCGGGUCUAAUACCGGAUAUGACUCCAUGACGCAUGUUGUGGGGUGGAAAGCCUUGUGCGGCUGAGGAUGGGCCCGCGGCCUAUCAGCUUGUUGGUGGGGUGAUGGCCUACCAAGGCGACGACGGGUAGCCGGCCUGAGAGGGCGACCGGCCACACUGGGACUGAGACACGGCCCAGACUCCUACGGGAGGCAGCAGUGGGGAAUCUUGCGCAAUGGGCGAAAGCCUGACGCAGCGACGCCGCGUGAGGGAUGACGGCCUGGUGUAAC